rnacentral:piRNA from 1 species
UGAGUGCUCUGUGGAAGAUUCUAGCCCUA